AACGAACGCUGGCGGCAUGCCUAACACAUGCAAGUCGAACGAGACCUUCGGGUCUAGUGGCGCACGGGUGCGUAACGCGUGGGAACCUGCCCUUAGGUUCGGAAUAACUCCCCGAAAGGGGUGCUAAUACCGGAUAAUGUCUUCGGACCAAAGAUUUAUCGCCUUUGGAUGGGCCCGCGUUGGAUUAGCUAGUUGGUAGGGUAAAAGCCUACCAAGGCGACGAUCCAUAGCUGGUCUGAGAGGAUGAUCAGCCACACUGGGACUGAGACACGGCCCAGACUCCUACGGGAGGCAGCAGUGGGGAAUAUUGGACAAUGGGCGAAAGCCUGAUCCAGCAAUGCCGCGUGAGUGAUGAAGGCCUUAGGGUUGUCAAGCUCUUUUACCCGGGAUGAUAAUGACAGUACCGGGAGAAUAAGCUCCGGCUAACUCCGUG
rnacentral:rRNA from 1 species